rnacentral:rRNA from 1 species
UCGACUAAGCAUGCGAGUUGAUGUAGCAAUACGUGGCGUACUGCUCAGUAACACGUGGAUAACCUACCCUUGGGACGGGGAUAAACCCGGGAAACUGGGUAUAAUACCCGAUAAUCCUCGAAUGCUGGAAUGCGUCGAGGAUGAAAGCUCCGACGCCCAAGGAUGGGUCUGCGGCCUAUCAGGUAGUAGUGGGUGUAAUGGACCUACUAGCCUACAACGGGUACGGGUUGUGAGAGCAAGAGCCCGGAGAUGGAUUCUGAGACACGAAUCCAGGCCCUACGGGGUGCAGCAGGCGCGAAACCUUUACAAUGCUGGCAACAGCGAUAGGGGGACCUCGAGUGCCAUCGUACAACGAUGGCUGUCGUUGUGCCUAAAAAGCACGAUAUAGC